rnacentral:rRNA from 1 species
CCUUGACAUACUAAGAACUUUCCAGAGAUGGAUUGGUGCCUUCGGGAGCUUAGAUACAGGUGCUGCAUGGCUGUCGUCAGCUCGUGUCGUGAGAUGUUGGGUUAAGUCCCGCAACGAGCGCAACCCUUUUCCUUAUUUGCCAGCGGGUCAUGCCGGGAACUUUAAGGAUACUGCCAGUGACAAACUGGAGGAAGGCGGGGACGACGUCAAGUCAUCAUGGCCCUUACGGCCAGGGCUACACACGUGCUACAAUGGUCGGUACAAAGGGUUGCUACCUCGCGAGAGGAUGCUAAUCUCAAAAAGCCGAUCGUAGUCCGGAUCGCAGUCUGCAACUCGACUGCGUGAAGUCGGAAUCGCUAGUAAUCGCGGAUCAGAAUGCCGCGGUGAAUACGUUCCCGGGCCUUGUACACACCGCCCGUCACACCAUGGGAGUUUGUUGCACCAGAAGUAGGUAGUCUAACCGCAAGGAGGACGCUUACCACGGUGUGGCCGAUGACUGGGGUGAAGUCGUAACAAGGUAAGCGUAGAUGA